AGUUUAUAUUUGAACGGACCCGUGGACUCUCUGGGAAUUAACACAGGAUCGUACAUGAGUUUUCUAUAUAUUAAAACACAUAAAGAUCCAAUCGUUAUAAGACCAAUAGUGGAGAAGCUCACGGCACCUACUUACAAUCUUGAGAAGAAAUUAGCAAAAUAGACCAUGCAAUAUUAGAUCACUCAGAUGACUCUACCAAUUGCACUAUGCAAGCCUUAGAAAGAAUCAAGAAUAUCGUUUGGGAGGAAGGCGACCAGGUUGUAACCUAUGAUUUUGAGAACAUGUUCCCCUCCCUAAAAUUAGAACCAGCAUGCCUUGCUUUAUACUGUUUUUUAUUAGCCAAUACAGCAGAUCAACAAGUUAAUCCAGCUAUCCUUAGAGAUCUCACAUAUAUCAUAAUAAAAAAAAUCAUAUUUUACAUUUAAUGAUAAGUUAUCAGCAGAAUACUGACGUGCCUAUUGGAAGCGCCAUGGCAGGCCCCGUUGCAGAAUUAACCUUAAGAGAAGUAGAAGCGAAAGUACUAAGUGGACUGCGAAUUAAUCCUAAAUGUUAUCUUAGGUAUGUCAAUGACGUCUUUACUGUUUGG
rnacentral:lncRNA from 1 species